rnacentral:rRNA from 1 species
CAGCCGCCGCGGUAAUACCGGCGGCCCGAGUGGCGGCUACUAUUAUUGGGCCUAAAGCGUCCGUAGCCGGGCUGGUAAGUCCUCCGGGAAAUCUGGUCGCUUAACGAUCAGACUUCCGGAGGAUACUGCUGGCCUAGGGACCGGGAGAGGCCGAGGGGAUUCCCGGGGUAGGGGGGAAAUCCUAUAAUCCCGGGAGGGCCACCUGUGGCGAAGGCGCUCGGCUGGAACGCGUCCGACGGUGAGGGACGAAGGCCAGGGGAGCAAACCGGAUUAGAUACCCGGGUAGUCCUGGCUGUAAACGAUGCGGACUUUGUGUCGGACAAGCUAUGAGCUUGUCCGGUGCCGGAGGGAAACCGUUAAGUCCGCCGCCUGGGGAGUACGGCCGCAAGGCUGAAACUUAAAGGAAUUGGCGGG